rnacentral:rRNA from 1 species
GAUGAACGCUAGCGGCAGGCCUAAUACAUGCAAGACGAACGGUAGAUUGGUAGCAAUACUAAUUGAGAGUGUCGUACGGGUGCGUAACACGUAUGCAAUCUACCCGCAACAGGAGGAUAGCUCCCCGAAAGGGGAAUUAACCCUCCAUAAGAUCACAGUGUGGCCUCACACAGUGAUUAAAAACUGAGGUGGUUGCGGAUGAGCAUGCGUCUGAUUAGUUAGUUGGCGGGGUAACGGCCCACCAAGACGAUGAUCAGUAGGGGACCUGAGAGGGUGAUCCCCCAACUGGCACUGAGAUACGGGCCAGACUCCUACGGGAGCAGCAGUAGGGAAUAUUGGACAAUGGGUGAGAGCCUGAUCCAGCCAUGCCGCGUGCAGGAAGACGGCCUUCU